rnacentral:tRNA from 1 species
GGUUCAGUAGCGUAGUGGUAGCUAGCCUGUGCAGGCAACCAGGAGGUUAUGGGUUCGAUUCCCCCUUGCUGCACCU